rnacentral:rRNA from 1 species
ACCCGCUGAACUUAAGCAUAUCAAUAAGCGGAGGAAAAGAAACUAACAAGGAUUCCCCUAGUAACGGCGAGUGAAGCGGGAAGAGCUCAAAUUUGAAAUCUGGUGGCCUCAGGCUAUCCGAGUUGUAAUCUAUAGAAACAUUUUCCGCGUUGGCCCAUGUACAAGUCUCUUGGAAUAGAGCGUCAUAGAGGGUGAGAAUCCCGUCCUUGACAUGGACUACCAGUGCUUUGUGAUAUGUUUUCAACGAGUCGAGUUGUUUGGGAAUGCAGCUCAAAAUGGGUGGUAAAUUCCAUCUAAAGCUAAAUAUUGGCGAGAGACCGAUAGCGAACAAGUACCGUGAGGGAAAGAUGAAAAGCACUUUGGAAAGAGAGUUAAACAGUAUGUGAAAUUGUUGAAAGGGAAACGAUUGAAGUCAGUCGUGUCUAUUGGACUCAGCCGGUUCUGCCGGUGUACUUCCUUUAGAUGGGGUCAACAUCAGUUUUGAUCGCUGGAAAAGGGCAGGAGGAAUGUAGCACUCUCGGGUGAACUUAUAGCCUUCUGUCGCAUACAGUGGUUGGGACUGAGGAACGCAGCUUGCCUUUAUGGCCGGGAUUUAUCCACGUACAAGCUUAGGAUGUUGACAUAAUGGCUUUAAACGACCCGUCUUGAAACACGG